rnacentral:tRNA from 1 species
AAAGGGAGACCUAAUUCCGGUGGGAGACGAAAAAAAAGUAGUCCCAACCAAGAAUCAAUCCCAAAAGGUCGGAGCGAGGCGAAAUUGGCUUUCAAACUAGGUUCUGGGUUCACACAAGACCUGAAUCAGGAACAAGGGCUAUUAGCUCAGGUGGUUAGAGCGCACCCCUGAUAAGGGUGAGGUCCCUGGUUCGAGUCCAGGAUGGCCCACCUGCACAGGUGGCAAAAACAAGAGAAGCGAGGAAUCAGCACCUUAUCUUACUUAUAUAGUAAGAGAGAAUGCUGGCUCUGAGUAAAGAGUCCAGAGGAACCUUGAAAACUGCAUAGAGCUAGGUGAAAAAGCCAAAAAAGAAGACCGCAAG